GCAGGCUUAACACAUGCAAGUCGAGGGGCAGCAUGGUCUUAGCUUGCUAAGGCCGAUGGCGACCGGCGCACGGGUGAGUAACACGUAUCCAACCUGCCGUCUACUCUUGGACAGCCUUCUGAAAGGAAGAUUAAUACAAGAUGGCAUCAUGAGUCCACAUGUUCACAUGAUUAAAGGUAUUCCGGUAGACGAUGGGGAUGCGUUCCAUUAGAUAGUAGGCGGGGUAACGGCCCACCUAGUCUUCGAUGGAUAGGGGUUCUGAGAGGAAGGUCCCCCACAUUGGAACUGAGACACGGUCCAAACUCCUACGGGAGGCAGCAGUGAGGAAUAUUGGUCAAUGGGCGAGAGCCUGAACCAGCCAAGUAGCGUGAAGGAUGACUGCCCUAUGGGUUGUAAACUUCUUUUAUAAAGGAAUAAAGUCGGGUAUGGAUACCCGUUUGCAUGUACUUUAUGAAUAAGGAUCGGCUAACUCCGUGCCAGCAGCCGCGGUAAUACGGAGGAUCCGAGCGUUAUCCGGAUUUAUUGGGUUUAAAGGGAGCGUAGAUGGAUGUUUAAGUCAGUUGUGAAAGUUUGCGGCUCAACCGUAAAAUUGCAGUUGAUACUGGAUAUCUUGAGUGCAGUUGAGGCAGGCGGAAUUCGUGGUGUAGCGGUGAAAUGCUUAGAUAUCACGAAGAACUCCGAUUGCGAAGGCAGCCUGCUAAGCUGCAACUGACAUUGAGGCUCGAAAGUGUGGGUAUCAAACAGGAUUAGAUACCCUGGUAGUCCACACGGUAAACGAUGAAUACUCGCUGUUUGCGAUAUACAGCAAGCGGCCAAGCGAAAGCGUUAAGUAUUCCACCUGGGGAGUACGCCGGCAACGGUGAAACUCAAAGGAAUUGACGGGGGCCCGCACAAGCGGAGGAACAUGUGGUUUAAUUCGAUGAUACGCGAGGAACCUUACCCGGGCUUAAAUUGCAGAUGAAUUACGGUGAAAGCCGUAAGCCGCAAGACAUCUGUGAAGGUGCUGCAUGGUUGUCGUCAGCUCGUGCCGUGAGGUGUCGGCUUAAGUGCCAUAACGAGCGCAACCCUUGUUGUCAGUUACUAACAGGUUCCGCUGAGGACUCUGACAAGACUGCCAUCGUAAGAUGUGAGGAAGGUGGGGAUGACGUCAAAUCAGCACGGCCCUUACGUCCGGGGCUACACACGUGUUACAAUGGGGGGUACAGAGGGCCGCUACCACGCGAGUGGAUGCCAAUCCCAAAAACCUCUCUCAGUUCGGACUGGAGUCUGCAACCCGACUCCACGAAGCUGGAUUCGCUAGUAAUCGCGCAUCAGCCACGGCGCGGUGAAUACGUUCCCGGGCCUUGUACACACCGCCCGUCAAGCCAUGGGAGCCGGGGGUACCUGAAGUGCGUAACCGCGAGGAGCGCCCUAGGGUAAAACUGGUGACUGGGGCUAAGUCAUAACAA
rnacentral:rRNA from 1 species